rnacentral:lncRNA from 1 species
GUAGCUCUCACAGCAUCAUUACCGCCCAAUCAGAUUGUCACACAUUUAUUAAUUCCUUCUCUCUAGAACUUAAAGGAUUCAUAGAGGUUGUCCAGUCUAUCUUUCCCCACUGAGGUCCAGAAAGUGACUUGGGAAGGUCAUACAAGUAACAAGUGAGAAAGCUGGGAUUCAAACUCAGUGCUUAGUACAAUUCCUGGAACAUGAUGGGCCUGAAGUUAAUCAUCUCAUUGAAUUUCCUCCUGCCUUCAUAUGGAUAAAUUAUUUCAAGAGGAUUAUCCAGGUCAGUCACACUUAAAUCAUUGACAGUACUCACUCAU